rnacentral:rRNA from 1 species
UUUAGCAUGGAAUAAUAGAAUAGGACGUGUGGUUCUAUUUUGUUGGUUUCUAGGACCGCCGUAAUGAUUAAUAGGGACAGUCGGGGGUAUCAGUAUUCAAUUGUCAGAGGUGAAAUUCUUGGAUUUAUUGAAGACUAACUACUGCGAAAGCAUUUGCCAAGGAUGUUUUCAUUUAUCAGGAACGAAAGUUAGGGGAUCGAAGACGAUCAGAUACCGUCGUAGUCUUAACCAUAAACUAUGCCGACUAGGGAUCGGACGAUGUUAUUUUUUGACUCGUUCGGCACCUUACGAGAAAUCAAAGUGCUUGGGCUCCAGGGGGAGUAUGGUCGCAAGGCUGAAACUUAAAGAAAUUGACGGGAGGGCACCACCAGGUGUGGAGCCUGCGGCUUAAUUUGACUCAACACGGGGAAACUCACCAGGUCCAGAA